rnacentral:rRNA from 1 species
GAUGAACGCUAGCGGCAGGCCUAACACAUGCAAGUCGAGGGGUAACAGGGGGUGCUUGCACUCUGCUGACGACCGGCGCACGGGUGCGUAACGCGUAUGCAACCUACCUUCUACAGGGGGAUAGCCCAGAGAAAUUUGGAAUAAUACCCCAUACGAUCUUUACUUGGCAUCGAGUAAAGAAGAAAACUUCGGUGGUAGAAGAUGGGCAUGCGUCCUAUUAGUUAGUUGGUGAGGUAACGGCUCACCAAGACAUCGAUAGGUAGGGGCCCUGAGAGGGGGAUCCCCCACACUGGUACUGAGACACGGACCAG